CACCUGUGCAGAGUAUCUGAGGGAUCACCGUCAGUGCUCCAGUUCUGGGAUGUUACCAGUGGCAGCUGAACCAGUAACAUUUGUCUUACUUCCUGUGUUUCCUUCCCUCAAGGCUUACAUUUUAAUUUGUUUCCAUGCAGCAAAUAAGUUCCACAAAAGGGAAACUUAAUAAAAAAGCUGUAGUAAAGAGUAUGGCGUAACUGACAUAACUUUUUCCUUUUAGAAGCAUGAGGAUUGCAUCACUGAUGAUUCUGCCUGGCAGUAAAUUAAAUAAGAUACAACCCAAGUUCAGGAAAUUAAAUUAAUUAUAAAGUUAUUCCUUUGGCUGCUCUGAAGUCUUCACACACAGUCAUUCCAAUGGAAAGUUGGACAAAUGACAGCAGCAGCACAGUUAAGGAAAUCUGAUGGAUCAUACGCUACAGCUUCAGAUGUCUGUUCAUUUCUUUGGAUGUUUUAAAAUAAUCCAGAUUCACUUCUCCCAUGUGAUUCAUGACUGUUGUGCAACUUCUGUUAAUCCUGAGGAAGAAGAAGAAGAAAAACAAACAGUCCUCAGGUUAGAAGCUGUCACAAAGAGCAGGAGUGCUACCGGUGCCUGAGGGUCCUAUUUUGGCAAGGAAUUGAUAUGGUAAGAUAUACCAGAUCCCUUCAGCAGGUAAAUUACUUCUCAUUGUACAAAAAGAAAGCAGAAAACCUCAUCGUGUUUUUCACCCUGGGCAAAAUUCCCUCCUAUCCCCAAAUCUACUGAUCAGAGCGACCCUGAACAUGAGUCAGCUGAGCCAAUCUGGCAGCUCUGAGUAAUGCAUUUUUGUAAUGUCACAGGGCUGUGGUCCAUGUCAUGCAGUUCUUCCACUGC
rnacentral:lncRNA from 1 species